rnacentral:lncRNA from 1 species
GAUGCCUUCCUUCCUUUCCUGAACUAAUCCAAUCACUGAAAAGCUCCGGUCAUUCCUCCUCCAUGAAAUCUUCCUGACUAUGUUCACGUACAUUCCUUUCUCCCUUCUCUGAAUUCCUUUAGAGCUGGUUAAGCACUUACCAGGAGAACCCUGUCUCCACUCCACAUCAAUCCAUACCAUUAUGGCCACAUCCAAGACCAUAUCAUCACAAGACGUCCAAUAUUUUGAACUGAGAACACUACCUUUCUAACCACAAUCUCCUUAUCUAUCUCUCUUGGUCUCAAGCUGUAGAGCUGCCAUAUAACCCCCACUGCUUGGUCCAAGAAUUCCUUGGUGCUCUACCCAGAAGUUCACUGCAUCUGCCUGUCAUAUGCUGCUUGGGUGUGUGGUCCCCAUUGUUCCUACCUUCUGGGGAAAUGUCAAAUGUGAGAAAAACAGAUCAGAUACUCAAUUUCAUCAGAAGUAAAGCCAAAACAGAGUCAUAUAAUCCCAGGAAAAAAUGGACCCAAUUCAAUCAGAAACAGAGUUAAAAAAUAUCAUGUUAGGUCUAGAUAAAAGAAAGAAGUCCACAAAUGAAAGUGGAUUAGAAAGAAAGCAAAGUUUAAAGAAUGACAAAAGGAGCUUCGAAUUUCUUCAGGCUCUAAAAGAAGAAGUUGAAACAACCUCAAAUGUGUCUCUUUCUCGACAUGUUUCCUUUAAUAUUUCACAUCAGUCUUCACAAUCACCCUCAAGUCGACAUGAACUAAACAGAGAUAAUACUGAAGAAAAUAUUAGCUUGGAUGAUAAUAAGAGAAAGCAUUGGGAAAAGAAAAAGUGCAAGGAAAGAACAGGCGAGAAGAAUGAAGAAAAUAAAGAGGCAAAAACCAAGUAAGGAGAACAACAAUGUGGUUGUAACUACAGAAAAGCAAGACAAGGGUCAACCGUGCCAGCUCCAGAAUAAUUUAUACGCUAGAUCUAGAUGCCAGGGGCAUGAUGGGAAUUGAAAGUUUAUUCUCCCCAGCAUAAAUACAGUGUGGGUCUGGAGAAUUCUAACUAAAGGAGAAUGAGUAUGUCAAAAAGACAGUUCAACCAAAAAUACUUUGUUUCUGCUAAAAUAGCAGAGCAUGGCUGCUCAGGCAUUUCCCCCCUCAAAAAAUUCCUCUUGUGAGGCUAUCCAAGACCCUUGCUUUGUAUCCAGUCCACCAAAGAAAGUUAAAAUAUGCCGAUAGCCCUAAAUAAAAAUGUUUUGGCCAAGGCA